rnacentral:rRNA from 1 species
CCUACGGGUCGCAGCAGUCGAGAAUCAUUCACAAUGGGGGAAACCCUGAUGGUGCGACGCCGCGUGGGGGAAUGAAGGUCUUCGGAUUGUAAACCCCUGUCAUGUGGGAGCAAAUUAAAAAGAUAGUACCACAAGAGGAAGAGACGGCUAACUCUGUGCCAGCAGCCGCGGUAAUACAGAGGUCUCAAGCGUUGUUCGGAAUCACUGGGCGUAAGGCGUGCGUAGGCUGUUUCGUAAGUCGUGUGUGAAAGGCGCGGGCUCAACCCGCGGACGGCACAUGAUACUGCGAGACUAGAGUAAUGGAGGGGGAACCGGAAUUCUCGGUGUAGCAGUGAAAUGCGUAGAUAUCGAGAGGAACACUCGUGGUGAAGGCGGGUUCCUGGACAUUAACUGACGCUGAGGCACGAAGGCCAGGGGAGCGAAAGGGAUUAGAUACCCGAGUAGUC